rnacentral:lncRNA from 1 species
GGACAGAAACUGGAAAAAAUACAUGCAUACGUUACCAGGAUAGUGUAGAACACUUAUACGGUGACAUAAUUUACAGAAAGCAGCCCGAACUCAGCAAAUCUGAAUAUGGGUCAUGGAUUUUCCUAAGCGAGGCGAGUUAGAAAUGAACCUGCAAAGGCAGGCUGCUGGAUUUAUCAUCCAUGCCUGGCUGCAGGCUCACCUGCGGCUGCAGCAGGUACACCUGCGGCUCCUCCAUGUGGGUCCCACCCCUUUGGCUUGGUCCAGUUCGAGUUAAAACGGAGUUCUUAUGGGCUAGAAUGGUCAAAUCGAGAAAAAAAUGCCACGCGAUUGAGCAAAACAGCAUACAAUCCUGGUCUUCUCAAAUGAGACUUUGAAUCUGCACAUCACUCAUUGGUAGUCGC